CCCCUUUUGUCCACGUGUCUUGGCGCGCCUUUUCCAAUCCCGCCUUUCUUCAUUCCAAUCGCGCCUUUCUUCUUCUUAAUUCAUUUUUUUCAGACUCUCUCUUUUUACUCCCAAACAGAUUCUCCUCUUAAUACCAUCCCAUAUUUUCUUUAGUUAGAAUCGAUAUCUUUCUCUUGAACUCUCGAACUCUCUAUUAUGCCCUAUCUGUUUCCCUCCUCUCCAACUCCAUCUCUGUCUUGGUAUCUCUUUCAUUUUUAUACAGUCCUUAUACAAAUAAAACCUCAUUUCUCUCUUACUUCCCUUUCUUCUUCUCUCUCUACCCAACAAAUUUUCUAGGUCUGAAACGGGUGGAUGAUGGGUUUAUAGUUUAAGGUACAGAUCUGUUGAAAUUUAUUUAUUAAUCCAUUUUUGGGACUUUUUAUGGGAUCCUUACAAAUCAAUGGUGUUCAUGGUGGAUUUGGGUUAAUUUGGGGCUCUAAGCGUCCAGAUCUAUACAGGGAAGUGGAAAUAGUCUUUUCUACUUUAAUCACUUUGUAUUAUGUUAAAAAAAAUUCCAGUUUUUUUUCUCCUUUGUUGCUUGAUUUGUGCAUUUUGACAUUACUUUGCAGGCUUGGUGUUUGCUUCUAAAUGACAAAGUUAUAUUUAGGAUGCAAUGGCCAUAAUAUGCAGAUCUUUAGGUCAAUGAAAAUCAAUUUAUGCAUGAUAUUUAACAUAUGAACCCGCGACUAGCUAAUUGCCUGGGGAACGUGUUGGUGGAUCAGCUGUGAGAUAAGCAUGGUUCCGUCCAAUGUGACCAACAUACCCGAUAUGAGAAAUGGACAAAAUGCAGCAAUAGAGAACAUAGAAACUCCGGUUUUGUUGAUUUCUGUUUGUGCAAAGCGAGUAUUGACUUCUUUGCUCCUAAGAAGUAGGAAAGUAGACAAGAAGGAAGAAGAACACAACAUCACUGGAAAUAGCAAUAAAAGCUUCAAAAGGAUUCACUAGAGCUUCAACAUUGCAUGA